GGGGCGCGCUAGACAUGCAGUCGAACGGUAACAGAAAGCAGCUUGCUGCUUUGCUGACGAGUGGCGGACGGGUGAGUAAUGUCUGGGAAACUGCCUGAUGGAGGGGGAUAACUACUGGAAACGGUAGCUAAUACCGCAUAACGUCGCAAGACCAAAGAGGGGGACCUUAGGGCCUCUUGCCAUCGGAUGUGCCCAGAUGGGAUUAGCUAGUAGGUGGGGUAACGGCUCACCUAGGCGACGAUCCCUAGCUGGUCUGAGAGGAUGACCAGCCACACUGGAACUGAGACACGGUCCAGACUCCUACGGGAGGCAGCAGUGGGGAAUAUUGCACAAUGGGCGCAAGCCUGAUGCAGCCAUGCCGCGUGUAUGAAGAAGGCCUUCGGGUUGUAAAGUACUUUCAGCGGGGAGGAAGGGAGUAAAGUUAAUACCUUUGCUCAUUGACGUUACCCGCAGAAGAAGCACCGGCUAACUCCGUGCCAGCAGCCGCGGUAAUACGGAGGGUGCAAGCGUUAAUCGGAAUUACUGGGCGUAAAGCGCACGCAGGCGGUUUGUUAAGUCAGAUGUGAAAUCCCCGGGCUCAACCUGGGAACUGCAUCUGAU
rnacentral:rRNA from 1 species